rnacentral:rRNA from 1 species
AUUGAACGCUGGCGGCAGGCCUAACACAUGCAAGUCGAACGAGUGGCGGACGGGUGAGUAAUGUCUAGGACCCUCCCUGAUGACGGGGGAUAACUACUGGAAACGGUAGCUAAUACCGCAUACCAUCAGAUGUGCCCAGAUGGGAUUAGCGAGUUGGUGGGUUAACGGCUCACCAAGGCGACGAUCCCUAGCUGGUCUGAGAGGUUGACCGGCCACACUGGAACUGAGACACGGUCCAGACUCCUACGGGAGGCAGCAGUGGGGAAUAUUGCACAAUGGGCGCAAGCCGGAUACAGCCAUGCCGCGUGUAUGAAGAAGGCCUUCGGGUUGUAAAGUACUGUCAGCGGGGAGGCGGUACCCGCAGAAGAAGCACCGGCUAACUCCGUGCCAGCAGCCGCGGUAAUUC